AUUAAAGAUGGUGAUGGAGUUCACCUCUAAUCGCAGUAUACCGCUGAUAACUCCUACAAAAUA
rnacentral:ncRNA from 1 species